UACGAAGGUGGCAAGCGUUGUUCGGAUUCACUGGGCGUACAGGGAGCGUAGGCGGUUAGGUAAGCCCUCCGUGAAAUCUCCGGGCCUAACCCGGAAAGUGCAGAGGGGACUGCUUGGCUAGAGGAUGGGAGAGGAGCGCGGAAUUCCCGGUGUAGCGGUGAAAUGCGUAGAGAUCGGGAGGAAGGCAGGUGGCGAAGGCGGCGCUCUGGAACAUUUCUGACGCUGAGGCUCGAAAGCGUGGGGAGCAAACAGG
rnacentral:rRNA from 1 species